rnacentral:rRNA from 1 species
UGUGACUGCGUACCUUUUGUAUAAUGGGUCAGCGACUUAUAUUCUGUAGCAAGGUUAACCGAAUAGGGGAGCCGGAGGGAAACCGAGUCUUAAUUGGGCGUUAAGUUGCAGGGUAUAGACCCGAAACCCGGUGAUCUAGCCAUGGGCAGGUUGAAGGUUGGGUAACACUAACUGGAGGACCGAACCGACUAAUGUUGAAAAAUUAGCGGAUGACCUGUGGCUGGGGGUGAAAGGCCAAUCAAACCGGGAGAUAGCUGGUUCUCCCCGAAAGCUAUUUAGGUAGCGCCUCGUGAAUUCAUCUCCGGGGGUAGAGCACUGUUUCGGCUAGGGGGCCAUCCCGGCUUACCAACCCGAUGCAAACUGCGAAUACCGGAGAAUGUUAUCACGGGAGACACACGGCGGGUGCUAACGUCCGUCGUGAAGAGGGAAACAACCCAGACCGCCAGCUAAGGUCCCAAAGUCAUGGUUAAGUGGGAAACGAUGUGGGAAGGCCCAGACAGCCAGGAUGUUGGCUUAGAAGCAGCCAUCAUUUAAAGAAAGCGUAAUAGCUCACUGGUCGAGUCGGCCUGCGCGGAAGAUGUAACGGGGCUAAACCAUGCACCGAAGCUGCGGCAGCGACACUAUGUGUUGUUGGGUAGGGGAGCGUUCUGUAAGCCUGCGAAGGUGGCCUGUGAGGGUUGCUGGAGGUAUCAGAAGUGCGAAUGCUGACAUAAGUAACGAUAAAGCGGGUGAAAAGCCCGCUCGCCGGAAGACCAAGGGUUCCUGUCCAACGUUAAUCGGGGCAGGGUGAGUCGACCCCUAAGGCGAGGCCGAAAGGCGUAGUCGAUGGGAAACGGGUUAAUAUUCCCGUACUUGGUGUUACUGCGAAGGGGGGACGGAGAAGGCUAUGUUGGCCGGGCGACGGUUGUCCCGGUUUAAGCGUGUAGGUGUGUGUUCCAGGUAAAUCCGGUUCACUUUAACACUGAGGCGUGACGACGAGGCACUACGGUGCUGAAGCAACAAAUGCCCUGCUUCCAGGAAAAGCCUCUAAGCAUCAGGUAACAUCAAAUCGUACCCCAAACCGACACAGGUGGUCAGGUAGAGAAUACCAAGGCGCUUGAGAGAACUCGGGUGAAGGAACUAGGCAAAAUGGUGCCGUAACUUCGGGAGAAGGCACGCUGACACGUAGGUGAAGUGAUUUACUCACGGAGCUGAAGUCAGUCGAAGAUACCAGCUGGCUGCAACUGUUUAUUAAAAACACAGCACUGUGCAAACACGAAAGUGGACGUAUACGGUGUGACGCCUGCCCGGUGCCGGAAGGUUAAUUGAUGGGGUCAGCGCAAGCGAAGCUCCUGAUCGAAGCCCCGGUAAACGGCGGCCGUAACUAUAACGGUCCUAAGGUAGCGAAAUUCCUUGUCGGGUAAGUUCCGACCUGCACGAAUGGCGUAAUGAUGGCCAGGCUGUCUCCACCCGAGACUCAGUGAAAUUGAACUCGCUGUGAAGAUGCAGUGUACCCGCGGCAAGACGGAAAGACCCCGUGAACCUUUACUAUAGCUUGACACUGAACAUUGAGCCUUGAUGUGUAGGAUAGGUGGGAGGCUUUGAAGCGUGGACGCCAGUCUGCGUGGAGCCGACCUUGAAAUACCACCCUUUAAUGUUUGAUGUUCUAACGUGGACCCGUGAUCCGGGUUGCGGACAGUGUCUGGUGGGUAGUUUGACUGGGGCGGUCUCCUCCUAAAGAGUAACGGAGGAGCACGAAGGUUGGCUAAUCCUGGUCGGACAUCAGGAGGUUAGUGCAAUGGCAUAAGCCAGCUUGACUGCGAGCGUGACGGCGCGAGCAGGUGCGAAAGCAGGUCAUAGUGAUCCGGUGGUUCUGAAUGGAAGGGCCAUCGCUCAACGGAUAAAAGGUACUCCGGGGAUAACAGGCUGAUACCGCCCAAGAGUUCAUAUCGACGGCGGUGUUUGGCACCUCGAUGUCGGCUCAUCACAUCCUGGGGCUGAAGUAGGUCCCAAGGGUAUGGCUGUUCGCCAUUUAAAGUGGUACGCGAGCUGGGUUUAGAACGUCGUGAGACAGUUCGGUCCCUAUCUGCCGUGGGCGCUGGAGAACUGAGGGGGGCUGCUCCUAGUACGAGAGGACCGGAGUGGACGCAUCACUGGUGUUCGGGUUGUCAUGCCAAUGGCACUGCCCGGUAGCUAAAUGCGGAAGAGAUAAGUGCUGAAAGCAUCUAAGCACGAAACUUGCCCCGAGAUGAGUUCUCCCUGAGACUUUAGGUCUCCUGAAGGAACGUUGAAGACGACGACGUUGAUAGGCCGGGUGUGUAAGCGCAGCGAUGCGUUGAGCUAACCGGUACUAAUGAACCGUGAGGCUUAACCUUACA